UACAGAGGGUGCGAGCGUUAAUCGGAAUUACUGGGCGUAAAGCGCACGUAGUCGGCUUUGCAAGUCGGUUGUGAAAUCCCCGGGCUCAACCUGGGAACUGCAUCCGAGACUGCAUUGCUAGAGUAUGGGAGAGGAAAGCGGAAUUUCUGGUGUAGCAGUGAAAUGCGUAGAUAUCAGAAGGAACAUCAGUGGCGAAGGCGGCUCUCUGGACCGAUACUGACGCUGAGGCGCGAAAGCGUGGGGAGCAAACAGG
rnacentral:rRNA from 1 species